rfam:Chlorocebus sabaeus isolate 1994-021 chromosome 22, whole genome shotgun sequence.
GCUGGGCGCGGUGGUGCGCGCCUGUAGUCCCAGCUACUUGGCAGACUGAGGCAGGAAAAUCACUUCAACCCGGGAGGCGGAGGUUGCAGUGAGCUGAGAUAGCGGCUCUCUCACUGCACUCCAGCCUGGGCGACAGAGCAAGACUCCGCCUCAAAAAAANNNNNNNNNNUUUUUUUGAGGCGGAGUCUUGCUCUGUCGCCCAGGCUGGAGUGCAGUGAGAGAGCCGCUAUCUCAGCUCACUGCAACCUCCGCCUCCCGGGUUGAAGUGAUUUUCCUGCCUCAGU